AGCCGCUGGAGACUCCCCCUGCCCCUUGCUGUUACCCCGAGGAGCCCCCGGAGCAAACCUGGCUGGACUUCCCAGAGGAACUGCCGGAUCUACCCCCCAGCCCGGGCUGCGAGGAGCCCAUGCUGUUGGACUUCCCGGGAGCGGACGCCACAAACCAGCUGAGCUUCGAUAUCUUCUGCAAUAUUGAUUCGACAGGAGAUAGUAUCAUUUGACACUGGAAUGCAACUCACUUUUUUGGCAGUUGCAUCACCCAAGGUUUUGCGACAGGCAUCUAUUACUGAAGAGCCAAAUCUACAGUUUACAGUCAAGAAGAGACAAAAUCAGAACCCUCAGUCUCUGGGAACUUGGAUGAAAUAGGACUUGGGUAUGAACCACUCCUUGCUGUUGUUUGCAAACCCAAAACUUGGCCAACAAGGUUCUGCAAAAUCAAAUCUAUUCCAGGUAGUGUAAUCAUAGUGUUUUUGUUGGAUCUUUGAGUGCUGUGGUACAUCAAUCCCUAGCAGCACACCAGGUGUACCAUGGCUGAGGCAGGUGCUACAGGCACUUCAGCUGUUAAGGAUCUACGUGCCCCUUGUUCAUCACCAGUAUGCAUUCCCCCAACUACCUUCAUCACCUUGCUUCACCCAAGCCAACUCAAACACCCUGGCUCUCUGUGACCACUCCUCCAAACAGGCACAGAAUCAGAGAUUGUGCUGAUUUGUGUAUUGUAGAAAUAUAUGCCUGGGUCUAGGAUGGGUGGUAGCAACCAUGUCUGACACAUCAAAGAGGCACAGAUGGUGAAUGAACAGGGGCUCCCAUAUGGUUGUACCAUAAGAAAGAAAGAAGAGCUAUGGGUCUUCGUAAGCAUAAAAUGUGACUAUGUCUCAUUUACUUACCCUCUGGCUGAGCAAGGAAAUAGGAUGGAACAUACACAGGCUUAAUUAUCCCCAUCUAAUCUGCAGUAUCAAUGGGAAAGGCUGAGCCAGAUCCAGGAGAAGAAGGUGGAGGUUUCCCUGGAGGGUCUGCUGGAAGUUUGAGGGGUUUUGAUUUUGUU